AGUCACUGACAUUAGAUACCCCUGGUAGUCCAGGGUGUAAACGCUGCAGACUUGGUGUUGGAGGCCCUUUGGGGGCAUUCAGUGCCGGAGAGAAGUUGUUAAGUCUGCUACUUGGGGAGUACGUCCGCAAGGAUGAAACUUAAAGGAAUUGGCGGGGGAGCACCGCAACGGGAGGAGCGUGCGGUUUAAUUGGAUUCAACACCGUAAACUCACCAGGGAAGACUGUUACAUGAAGGCCGAGAUGAAGACUCUGCUAGAUUUUCAG
rnacentral:rRNA from 1 species